rnacentral:misc_RNA from 1 species
AGAUCCUACAUAAGGGAUUUCAAUCCUUUGGCGAACAUCAUGUACAAAAGUACUAUAUUUUUCAGCUCACAAAGUCAUCUGUGGAAAUCACUGGGUGUAACAUAUUGCAUUGUUGUGGAUUUGUGUUUCCAAAUAUUUACAAAGGCAUUCAUGUAUUCAUAGAAGUUAAAACUAUAAUACAAGACCAAAUAAAAGCAUGGAGAAAAGGAAAACACAAGGACAAUAAUUAAAGUUCAGACCACUGCUUUAGCCAAAUCUAUCUUAUCCAAAUCCAACUCGUAUGAUGAAACAAAAUGUUGAAAUCUUCUAUAGGCAUCAAAAAGUGUCAUCAAGGUGGUCUCAAUUCAAGAGGAAAGUGUAGACAUGGAAUGGAGAUUGCUGAUAAUGCUGUCGGUUAAUGAAUGUGAGCCACUGGUAGCCGCAAACUUCAGGUGUUUAGGGGCUUCAGCUCUAUCAAAAUAAAAUGCACCUGAGACUAGCUUUUCCUUCGGCUGUAAAGCUAGCCAAAUAACUGUGUCUGCACCUUGCUCGCUUGUUCUGAGAUUUCCUGAGAAUAACUUAUUAAAAUUAGGCAAACUCUUAGCAACUCCUGGCGUCGCAGCCCAACCUGGGUGCAUUGAGUAGAACGAGAUCCCUCUAUCCUUGUAAAUUUCAGCCCACUUCUCGGUUAAUGCCACCUAAGAAAAAUAACAUUAAAGAGCCAGUCAAUCCACGAGUUAUAACAGUUGGACCAGGGUUCAAGAAUUGACUUUAAUCUCUAACAUGCAUUGUAACUGUACGGGAUAAAUAAGGCUGUUUGCUAUUUAAACUCUAGAAAAAAGAGUUUAAAAGAACCAUUCAACUUAAGAGCUUAAGCUAUUAGAUUUUAAUUUUUUAAUAGAUAAUGAGAAUAAAAUACUCCCUUCAAAAUAGAAGACUAUAAUUCAAUUUUUAGAAGUAAAAUACUCGAUUGUUCAUGUGUAUGCCCCAGUCCAAGAGAACCAUUUGUCCUGUUGUCAACGUAGGACAAACACAUAUUUAGGUGUCUGCAUGUGGGGAUAUCCCUAUGCUAAGCAAAUGAAACCAGCAAAAGAGGGGAAAAGAAAGCAAAAAAACUAAUAUUGGGCAAGACGCUAUUGUCACCAGUUCAAAGAAACAGGCGUUUACAUGCAUGUUGACAUGACAAACUAAUAUAGUGUAUUAACCACUAUAAGCAGAUUCAAUCCGUCUUGAUCCAAGAAUAAAAACUUCAUUAAGCAGCCUUACCGAGUCAUAUUGUCAAAAAGCAUUUGCUCAGACAGAAAGUGGGCAAGUCAAAAUUUUUUAAUUCCAGAAAGCAACAUGAACCAUGACAUGCUAUGUUGUCAACCUUUAGUAUUUGUUUCCAAUUUUCCAGAUUGUACCAUAAACUACUGAGUUAAAAUUUUAAAUGUGUUAACAAAAGAUAACACAAAUUUCUCUUAAGAAUUUGUAGAAUAUACAGAAUUUUAAUUUUACAAACCUGAACUCGCUUGUUGCGAGCAUACUGUUCCGACCCAUCAAAUUUCGCAUCACUAAACUGCAAAAUUAGUUGGAAGUUCUGUAAUUAUCCAAUUGAGAAACUAUGGCAAUUCAAGGUGGUUCAUGGUUCAAAACUUUACAACAGAAUUUUACUUGUAGAUCAGCAGUCAAGGGAGCUGUGUACAUUCCACCAGAUGAAACUGUAAUCACUCGAGCAUCAGGUGCUGCUUUCUCUAACAAAGGCACCAUUGAUUCUGUCAUGGCGAAAGUGCCCAACACAUUCACAGCAAAAUUCAAUUCAAACCUGGAGUAAAAAUAAAGACGGGGUUAACUUUUCUGCAAAAAAUCUAAUGGAAAUACUGUAUGUAGAUUUUGGUUUUUGAUACAGAUUAUCAAGAAGGAGAGAUGAACCCUUCUGAUGUGGUGAUUCUUUUAUUCUCAAGCAAACCAGCAUUGUUAACCUAAAGAUAGAAAAGUAUAUCCACAUUAGACUUUAUCUUGGCAGAAAUAGCAGUCGACAUUAUUGCAAACUAAAUUUAGCAGGAAAGUUUCUUGUUAAGUAUUGCCAAAAGAUAGAAAGAUAGAAAUGAUGUCCGCAUAUAUUUCAAUAGAUUUCCGAAAGUCAAAAAUAGUUUCCAAAAAUUGGAAGACAAAUAUAUUCUCGGGUAAUUGUAAGAAUUAGGUUCCAUAAUCUUGUACAUCCAGCCAAAGUCCCAGACUGAUUGUCCGAUAAGUAUUGAAGAAAGGAAAGAAAUUUACCAAUACAUGAAUUGGAACUUCCUUUGAAGCAAAUUUAGAUGCAAAAGACUUGAUCUCACUAACAGAUGAAAGAUCACAAACCUGCAAACUAACUGUAAUAAGCCAUAUAAUAUCAAAACAAAGUGCAUAAAAAUUGUUACUCAUCCAACAUGUUAGUAACCAAAUCCCCCUUUAAAUUCACUGAAGCCCUAUUAUGAAGUAGGCUUAGAGAGUUUAACCCAAAACUACUCAAGCAAACAACAGUCCUGGAUUACAAUUCAAAGCCUGAUAUUCCUUCUCAUGUCUAAUUAAAGUUUGGAAUUAUGUUUUGCUUAUUUUCACAAAGGAACAGAGUAUAUACUGAAACGUUAUAGGGUACAAAUGAAUUAGGACUAAAGAAAGAGGCUUCAAAGAUAACAAAUUUUAAAUUAAGAUGUUAUGAUAGAGCCACAACUAAGCAGAGAAUAGAGGAAAGGCUAGAGAAAUAGAAGAAAGGGGAGAAGAAUGAGAAAAAGAAGAGAAAGAGAGAGAAAGAGAAGAAAUAAGAGAGGAAGAUACUUUGUAUUAUUCAAUUCUUGAAUGCCAAAUACAAGAUUACAGUAUUUAUAUUCUAAUACAAUUUACUUCAGUUAUUCUCAUCUAAUACCAAUUCAAUUACUAUAUCUAUAACCGUUCCCUCCAAUUUCACAUCUAAUGACCCUUAUAACUUCAGCUCAGCAAUCCUUAACUCUUCCUGCUCAUUAGUCCAUAGUCCUAACAUUACCCUCUCUAGUGUCAAGGGAUAGGAAGUUUGGGUACUAAAAUGUAAAUUUUAAAGAGUAAAGGCGAUAUUUUGUAUUUAUUUUCUAUUUUGGUAAUUUUAGGGCGUGAUAACUCAAGCAUAGUGAUGUCUCCUCCUGCCACACCCCAUUAUUUCCCUACUGCUCUAUAGUGACGAGUGACUAGUUGGCUAGUGCUAAGCCCAGCUAGUCACCGGUUGUUGAGUUCCUAUCCCUCUAUUCCUUGUAGGUUUUCCCUCAGCCUACAAGUGAUGUGAGGAUUGCUUGUCUCCUUGUAUUGAUUAUGCUAUUUGAAUGAAAGAAGUAGUAUGUUCAUUGAAUGUUCUUGCCCCGUUGUUUUAUGUGCUCAUUGUGUUUGUGAUGCUCAUUGUGUUUAUAUGAGAUGUUUAUGAUGUUUUCCAAAUUGAUUUGCCAUACGCCCUAUGCUAAUAUAAUACUCAUUUUGAUUCACAAAUUAAUGUGAGAUUCUCCUAGGGGUAAGUCGGGUCGCAAUUUCUUUAUUAUUAGAAUUUAGGGUGCACCUCUCGUAUGAAAGAUAUGAUAGAAAGCUUAAAAUCUAUCACCGAUUCUCACAAUUCUCUUAUAGGGAUUGUGGAUGACAUUAAGGAUGACGUUAAGGAGACAGUGAGCACAAUCCAAGGUGAAUUGCAAGAAUUAAAAGGUAAGGUAAACUUACUAGUGAAAGCUGCCAACAAUCGUAUAUGGGAACCUACGAGGUAGGCAAAGCUGAAAUUCCAGAGCCAAAAGCUUUUGUUGGUGCUCAUGAUGCAAAAGAGGUAGAUAAUUACCUAUUUAAUAUGAAAUUAUAUUUCAAUGCUACUAAAAAUGAUUUUGAUGAGGGUAGGUUGAAGACAAUGCCCAUGUAUUUGAUCAAUGAUUCCAAAUUGUGGUGGCGUACUAAAAUAGAAGAAACUAUAUCAGGAUAGUGCUCUGUUGUUAGUUGGGAUAACUUUAAAAAGGAACUUAAACCUUAGUUUUACCUUGAGAAUGCGACUUACAAUGCACAACGCAAAUUGGUUGAUCUACAACAAACUGGUUCAAUUUGAAAGUAUGUAAGAGGCUUUUCAGCACUAAUGUUGGAUAUCAAGGAUAUGUCUGAGACAGACAAGGUAUUCAACUUUUUGAAGGGCUUGAAAACCACGAGCAAAGAAUGAACUAAUGAGAUGAAAUUCAUAGAGCUUAGUGUAGCGCUGGGCAGACCAGAAAAUCUAGACGAUUACUCAAACAAUGCUUCCAAAAGGAAGUUUAGCUCCCCAUAAGGCCUAGUCAAUCUCCCUAACAAAUGGGGCAAGAACUCGAGUAGGAAAGCAGAUCAGAAUAACUCUACUACAGGGGGGACAGAAAGGAAGAAUUGUAGUCAUGGGACAAAUGCAAAUAGGCCAACCAACCUGGGAAGAGGACCGAACAACGCAAGGCCACGGGAUAACCGUUCCCAGGGAUCAAGUAACAUAGCAGUAAUUAAGCCUAAAACAUUUAAGUGUUUUCUCUAUGAUGGACCACAACUAACAUGAGAUUACCUAACUUCAAACAAACUUCUAGGAAUCUAUGUAUGACUUAAUUCAGACUACCCCCAUCAAAUCAGCUUCCAACAUAUCUAGAAUACCAGAUCUCCUCCUUCCUAUCAACUGCAUCAACGUUAUCCGCAUCCCAGAUAACUUAUUAUCAACAGCGCACAGAAACAUAAAAAGUGUAUAAUACCUCCAAGUGAACAUUUUGGUUUCCUGUUGUAGAUCGAAUUUUAGAAAGGGCAGCCUCCCCCCGUUCCUUGUUACGACAUACCAUAUAUACAUUUGCCCCACUGAAAUAACAUGGCAAAAUAUAUUAUAACUGUACAAGAUUAUAUUCAUGUAACCAUCCAAGAUAUAAAUUAAAAAAAAAUGGAAAACUUCAAGCACCGUGAAGCAAGGCCCUCGGCAGUUGCGUAACCAAUGCCAGAAUUUGCUCCUGUAACUAUGCAAUUCUUCCCUUCAAUUCUAGACUGCAUAUCUUCUGGCUUGAAAUUUUUGGAAUGCUCCAAGAAGCCAGAUUUGGUGAAAUUGAAGUACCCACAAACACCAAAAGCAGUUGAUCUCCAUGUCUUAAGAAGGAACAUUUUGAAUAUGAAAGGGUUGCGGUGAUCAUAAGCAGUUUUUCUUGUUCUUCAACUGUAAUAAGAAAUAAAAA